AACGAACGCUGGCGGCAGGCUUAACACAUGCAAGUCGAGCCCCCGCAAGGGGAGCGGCAGACGGGUGAGUAACGCGUGGGAACGUACCUUUUGGUUCGGAACAACUCCGGGAAACUGGAGCUAAUACCGGAUAAGCCCUAACGGGGAAAGAUUUAUCGCCGAAAGAUCGGCCCGCGUCUGAUUAGCUAGUUGGUGAGGUAACGGCUCACCAAGGCGACGAUCAGUAGCUGGUCUGAGAGGAUGAUCAACCACACUGGGACUGAGACACGGCCCAGACUCCUACGGGAGGCAGCAGUGGGGAAUAUUGGACAAUGGGCGCAAGCCUGAUCCAGCCAUGCCGCGUGAGUGAUGAAGGCCUUAGGGUUGUAAAGCUCUUUUGUCCGGGAAGAUAAUGACUGUACCGGAAGAAUAAGCCCCGGCUAACUUCGUG
rnacentral:rRNA from 1 species